rnacentral:rRNA from 1 species
CCUACGGGUGGCAGCAGUGGGGAAUAUUGGACAAUGGGCGAAAACCUGAUCCAGCCAUGCCGCGUGUGUGAAGAAGGCCUUCGGGUUGUAAAGCACUUUCAGUGGGGAAGAAAGCCUUGGGGCUAAUACCCUCGAGGAAGGACAUCACCCACAGAAGAAGCACCGGCUAACUCCGUGCCAGCAGCCGCGGUAAUACGGAGGGUGCGAGCGUUAAUCGGAAUUACUGGGCGUAAAGCGCGCGUAGGCGGUCUGAUAAGCCGGUUGUGAAAGCCCCGGGCUCAACCUGGGAACGGCAUCCGGAACUGUCAGGCUAGAGUGCAGGAGAGGAAGGUAGAAUUCCCGGUGUAGCGGUGAAAUGCGUAGAGAUCGGGAGGAAUACCAGUGGCGAAGGCGGCCUUCUGGACUGACACUGACGCUGAGGUGCGAAAGCGUGGGUAGCAAACAGGAUUAGAUACCCUGGUAGUC